rnacentral:rRNA from 1 species
AGUGAACGCUGGCGGCGUGCCUAACACAUGCAAGUCGAGCGCGAAAGGGUAGCAAUACCUGAGUAAAGCGGCGAACGGGUGAGUAACACGUGGUUAACCUACCGAGAUGUGGGGGAUACCCCGGAGAAAUUCGGGACAAUACCGCAUACAGUCUUCUGGACGUCGGUUCGGAAGAGCAAAGCCGGGGAUCGUAAGACCUGGCGCAUUUCGAGGGGACCGCGGCCGAUUAGCUAGUUGGCGGGGUAANGGCCCACCAAGGCUUCGAUCGGUAGCCGGCCUGAGAGGGUGAACGGCCACACCGGAACUGAGACACGGUCCGGACUCCUACGGGAGGCAGCAGUGGGGAAUUUUGCGCAAUGGGCGAAAGCCUGACGCAGCAACGCCGCGUGGAGGAUGAAGGUUCUCUGAAUCGUAAACUCCUGUCGGCCGGGAAGAACGUGGCAGAGUGCUAAUCAGCUCUGUCUUGACU